rnacentral:lncRNA from 1 species
AAUUUCGUCCUCGAAAUUAGUUAUACCUUAAGGUUCAGGCUUUAAAAGUAUUCAGCCAUCGAGUCAUCCUUGAGAUCUCAGUUAGUCUCUCUCUCAGAGUACCUACUCACAAGAUUUCGACAUAAAGAAUUACGACAUACAAAGUCAUGGCAUUUCAAAACUUAAUCCCUUCCAUCUAUGAUAUAGGAGUUCCUUUGAUCUCUUCCAAAAGAAGACUAAUCUUCCCACCUUAGAUUUUAAAUACUAUAAUCCUUGGCCCAAGAAAUUAAUUGCUUUCGAUUAAGUCCACACAAAGAUCGUAAUCGGCUUAACAGAAAUAGGUGAGAGCAUUAACAUCAAACACUUUUCAUAAUCUAUAAUCCUCUUUCUUCUCUUAACUUUGCCUACAAUUUAAUGAUCAACCUUUACCCUAGCAAAACUUCAAACCCCUUUCAAAUAGGUAGAUCGAAAAUAUCAUAGCUAGGAGUAAGGAACAUUCCAGGUCUGAGAUCAAAAUCGAUGAUCCAUUAAUUCUAGUCAAAAGAUGCUAAGAAUUUCUUAGCACGACAUAAAACUGGAGAAUCUAGGAUAGCACCAUGCUAUCCAAAAUCAAAACAUUCUCUUUUUAUUUAUCAAGAAAAAAUCCUACUACACCAGAAAACAGAUCAAACUUUUCCGAAUUAAAGGAAUCGCACUUCUAACCAACUUAGGUAAAUAAUUCAGACCACUAUAUUUUCGCUGCGCGCUCUGAUUCAAAACAUCAAAAUCUUUUGAAUUCACUAAUAACUUUUGAUCAACAUACUACUUGUCUACAAACAGGACUAUUUAAUACCUCAUGGAUAUUUGCACUACAAAUCUUUCCUCCAUCUAGAUCGAAUUUUACUUAGCUAGAACUUCUUUUUACUUUUCCAUGAGCGAGCAAAGAAAGGGUAUCCCAACAUGAGAUCCCCUUAAACAAGUGACAAACG